UGAACCUGAGGGCAUCAUGUUGUAAGGAGAUGGGGGCUGCGGUGACUCGCGGGAUCAGGAAUUUCAAGAGAACCGAGCGGAAAGGGAAAUCCGCAACAUGAAGCCCUCUCUCGCUCCCAGGCACCCCUCUACCAGCAGCCUCCUGCCAGAGCAGAUUAGUCUCUAUCCAGAAAUUAAGGGAGAGAUUGCUCGUAAAGAUGACAAGCUGCUGUCAUUUCUAAAAUAUGUGUGUGUUGAUUCCAAAGAUCCUGUGUCUUCCGUGCAGCUGAAAGCUGCUGAAACACGUCAGGAGCCAAAGAAAUUCAGAUUGCCGAAAGGCCAUCACUUUGAUAUGAUAAAUAUUAAGAGCAUUCCCAAAGGCAAAAUUUCCACUGUAGAAGCAUUGACACUUUUCAAUAAUCAUAAACUUUAUCCAGAAACAUGAACUGCUGAGAAAAUAGCGCAAGAAUAUCAUUUAGAACAGAAAGAUGUGAAUUCCCUUCUUAAAUAUUUUGUUACUUUUGAAGUCAAAAUCUUCCCUCCUGAAGACAAGAAAGCAAUACAAUCAAAAUGAAGAAAAUCACAAAAAUUUCCUAUGUGUACUCCUCAUCCCUCAUCCUGUAUAUUUUCUUAUUUUUGCAUAUUAAAUUAUGUUAAUUACCAAGUGUUUAAUGCUCUCAUUGUGAGAGCAUCCUCUUAAUAUUUAUUGAGCUCCCUGAAUUUUCAAGAUUGCCAUAGACUGUAUUUUGUUUUCUUUUAAUUUGGUUUAGGCAUAUUUCAUAUGUACAUGUUAGCAUGACUAAUCAGCACAUCUGUACCUUUAUUAUAAGUAAAAGAGUUAAUUUGUUAUUUUAGACACAUCAUACCAACUUUUAAAUUGGUCAUAUGACCCCUUGGGAAGUGUCCUGAAUCCCUCAUUUAAGUUUUCCUAUCCAAUUUAGGUGUUUAGUUCAUUCUUCAUAUGUGAUAGUGAAAGUAAAAGCUUUCCUGACUCUUAAGACUGACAUUUUCUUGCUAGGGAAAGAGACUCGAUAGUAAGGUAGACUAACAGUAUUUCCCAAAUAAAGGCACAUAGGAGAAAAUAAAGAAUCAAUAAAAUCUAAUUAAAAUUACUACCCCAGGGAAUAAGAAGUAUUGAGGAUUUAUUUUAUUUUGAAUUGGUUUUAAGUAUGGAAUAAUUGUCUUUACAGUUAUAAAAAGUAAUUAGUGGUGUUUACGAAAUGUUGGGAAUUUCUGCUUUGACAAAUAGUUAAGUCCCAUGGCCUUCAGAGAGAGAGGCAGUAGUAGAAACUUUCGAAAAAGUAACAUUUCUCUGGAUUUAACAUGGAACUAGAAAAAUUUAAAGAAUAAUUAAAAAACCAUGGUAAAUGAAAUUUGGUGAUUAUAUAUAGUUUUGGAUGUUAAUGCUAGUUGAGAGAAGAGAGAAAAAAUAGCAAGUAGAAGCAGAGAACAGGAUCAUUGGAAGGGACCUGAGAAAUUGCUGCUUUAUCCAUUUUAGCAAACUUAUUAGCACGGCAUGUACCAGUACUAGGAUCUUGAGUAAGAGUGUGUGAGUUUAGCUCUGCCUAAUAUAUUACUACUUGUGGGAUCUUUGGGAGACUAUGUCCUCUUUGAGAUUGAAUUUCUUCUAUAAAAUGAGCAUAAUGCUACCUUACUUAAAUUUAAGGGUUAUCAUGAAGAUAAGUGAAAUAGUAAAGGACUACAAAAGACCAAGGGAAUAAUGAAUUUUUUUUUUGUAGUGGAGAAACGCCUGGGGAGAAUAUAUGACCUAAGGUUUCUGUAGUUUAUGACCUAACCAGGCCCAGAACUUAGUUUUUCAAAUCCUAGUAGUGUGUUUUUUCUGAUGUGCCAAAAAGCAGCACACCUCAGAGAAGGGAAUAAGUGUGAAUUGUGGGUAUAUUGGGGUUAUCAGUGUGCUUCUGAGGGAAGAUAGGCAUCACUACUUCCCAGAGAUGCCCCUGGAAAUGAUACAGAAGAUGCUAAAGAAUUCAACAAGAUGACGGAAUGAGGCAUUUGUAGUAAUGCUGAGAACAGAAAAAUGAACUAAGUGGAAAAUUUGUAAGCAUGUCUUUGAAUGUAGAUUGGUUAGGUGAACAAACUACCUAGUUUAUUUUUAGUUCAGUACAAUAAUUGUUUUAAGAAAACAUGAAAUAACUACUCAAUAUAAAAUGCAUUUUAAAACUCCUGUAAAUCAGUCAAAACUUUAUUCCAUUUGUCAUAAUGGUAACUAGUUGAGUCACUAAUACUAGUACACUCUUAUUUCUGAGCCAUCUUUAUUCAUAUCUACAUUGUGUGGUUAGGCAGCUGUUAUGUGGUAUCACAUGAUAAAAGAUUUCUUCCCAUACCAUU